UUUGACGACUCUACCUGACCCUACAAAGUGAGUGUCAUGAUUCUUCAAGGCUGCUCUGCACAAAUUUUACUCCACAAAUUUUAGAUAGGUGUAGACCAAAACAGAACAGCAAGUUUUCAAGGCUGCCAUGCACAAACAAAAGUUCAUUCAUGCCUGUGAAUGAUUGAUGCUUCUGUAUCAUGCAUAUCUCGGUGUGUGUGGAAGUAGUUGUGAAAUUUUAAGUACAAUACCAUGCACUGUCAUUAGAAGCCUUCCUUCAGCAGAUGGAGAGAGGAAAUUGACGACCCAACAUGAGCGAGACUGAGAGAGUCGUGAUUGUUCUUCAGAAUUAAACUGCACCAACGUCUAUCAAAAAUUAUGGAAUGAGACUGAACGAGACUUUGCUUCCGGAAGAAAACUGCGAUGACAGGGGCCGGGCCUACAACACGUUCAACGCGGAUCAUCUAUUUUUGUUCUUGGUAAUAUGUUUGUUUGUUUGUGUUAACCCGUUGGCUGCCACGCCUUUGUUCUCCCCUGUAUUAGCUCCUUAGCACGGGCCCACGCUGUCUGGUCUCAUGGUUUACAUGCCGUGGGGUCGGGCAGUCGUACCAGCCCCAGAUUUCGCCGAAAGGCCCUGUUAGGCAAUGCACCAUAGGGACUUCCCCCUUGUCGAUACGGUGACGGAUUCUAGAGGUUGUGCAUUCCAUCUUCUCCUGUCACCGUGUCAGCCCGGACUUGUCAGCAAUGGCAAGU